CCGCCGCCGACCAGACCUUCGCACGCCCGAUCUCACGCCCCAUAGCAGGAGGCGGCUAUCUGCUGUGGGAUCGGGCGAGGUGACGCCGGCGAUCACGACCCUGAUCCGACGGCGACCCCCUUCUGCUCUUCUCCCUCUCCUCUAGGGUUUUGGUGCCGCCAUCUCCGCACUUCCAGAAAGAGAUCGGGAGAGGCUGAGCCCAGAGCUAGAUGAAGGAGAAGAGAAUGUCCAUGGAUCAUUAAGGGGCGGCGGCGACACAAGGCUGAUGAAGGUGUUUGUAGGUGGCCUGGCGUGGGAGACGAGCAAGGAGGGCGUGCGCGUCCACUUCGAGCGCUUCAGCGAGAUCCUCGAGGCCGUCGUCAUCGCCGACAAGGGCACCGGCAGAUCCAAGGGCAGCUGAUUCUCCUGUUAGUUGAUGCUAUGCCUGAAUGGAUGCUUGGUAAGUUACGUUCUGGAGGCGGAGGCGGCCAUCAAGACAUGGUGAAUGGCGUCCAGAGGGCCAACUGCGACCUAGCUCGCCUACCUUGGGAUCCAGAGGUCCAAGGCACCACAACCAACUGCCUCUGCAUCCAUAUUCUGGUUUAUUUCAGUUUAGUGUGGUAAUCGGCAACAACCAAGUUAACAAAUCUUAACUGAAGUAUGUGUUUUAAAUCUUCGGUGGUGAUUUUUUUCUUGUGAGUAGACCAAUACAAACUGUAGUAUGUAUUCUGAAUUUCGUUCAUGUGACUAGAUGCAUAUGAACUGAACUACUGAAGCUCUGUUAUUCUUUCUAAGGCGACAAUGGUCGCAACUCCAUCUAAACUCGAAACAGAUAUCGGCCAUCUCUUAUUCUUUCUAAAUCUUAACAGAGGAAAAAAUUCACAAGCUUUAGAUGGAGUCUGGCGUGUUAUUCGAAUUUGAUUCAGAAUAGAAACAGAUAUCGGAAACUUGAAUGUACUAACGUGACACGAUUCAGAUUGCAUUGGCUGACAUAUGUAAUGAUCUUCAUAUAAAAGGGGAAAUUAAAUCAAUCACAUGUACAUCCGGGUUGCCCGACGCAUAUGUUUGAGAGGCAGUACAUGAGAUUAUCGAGGAAAGCUAUGAAGAGAAGCAUACAAAUAUACUAAGAUGACACCUGAUUCCCUAGGUGUGCAUGACAUACUGAUCAUCAUUUGAACUAAUCUAUGAUCUUGUUUGCAAUUUCAGGGUGGUGUAGCAAGCAAGCAAGAAUUGGAGAGGUAUCAUUAUGAGCUAAUCUGGACCAUGUACAGAGUUGACAAUAGUUCAAAAAAUAUCUGUUUACUGAAGGUUGAGAUUCCAAUUCACAUGUACAUUGUUCUGCAUUUUCUACAGUCUUCGGUGCAUGCUUGGAGAAGAGGCUAAGAUGAGAGGCUUCAAUCUGGAGAUGACAAUGAUAGUCACCUGGUGCAACUAAAGGUGUCAAGUAGUUGGCCAUUUGGCGGAAGUCAGGUCCAGGGGGAGACUCCGGUGUCCAGGAACUCUCCCCAGGAAAGACGUCAAUCAUAAGUUCCAGGUGCUCAGGCAAGUAGUAACAUACAAGGCACACGAUGGAAGAGAUGGCGUUCCCAGAGAUGUGAAUCACAUGGGUGCGGCAUCAAGAAUGGUGAGAAGUCUGUGAACUUGUUCAUCCUCCAUGUAGACCCAUCCUUCAAAAACAAUGUUUUUUACAGAUCAGCAUAAGAAGCACCAGUUAUAGCUUGACCACAACAUGGAGAAGAAAACUUUAUUUGACUUAAGAAAUCAUUUCACUUCGGUGACACAAUGUGAAAUCUCCAAACAGUCCAACAAGAUCAGAUACAUAAAAGACUAUCUUUCCCGACACCAUACAUCUUUAAUCUUACAACACUGAUUCAAUCGAAUAAUAUCCUUUGUUCUUCAAGCAUUUUCCUUUCUUUUUAUUUUGAUACUAUCUCCAAACUUUGUGACAACAUGAUCAGAUAUUAUCAGAUAGUAGAGAAAAUCUAACAUAUAUUUGCUUGGGUUACCUAGCUGCAAAGCAGAAUCUGAACUGGAAGACAGAUCCACUCCUAAUCAUGUGGUACCAGGAAAUUACCGAAACUCUUUCUACAGUCUGCGGUGCAUGCUUGGAGAAGAGGCUAAGAUGAGAGGCUUCAAUCUGGAGAUGACAAGGAUAGUCACCUGGUGCAACUAAAGGUUCAGUUUCAUACUUGUCAAGUUGUGAUGAUAUUGUUCAGGUAGUACUCCCUGACUGAUUUCACUUGCACUAUUUCUUCACAGAAGGUACUAAAAUAUCUUGUCAUGCUAAUAUUUAAUUUCUACUGAUACUUUGUGAAAAUACUCAGUUUUCUUAUACUAAAAUAUACCUGUUUACUUUUGUACUGAAAUGUACCUUCUUACAAAGAUUUCAUAGGAAGGAGGAGGUUAAGGGAGCAAAAGGCAUGUGGAGACAAGAGCCAGCUCAAGGAGAAGUUAACCCAUAAAUUACUUAAA